GGGUAAAAUAAUGAGGAUCAGAGGAGUAAAAUGAGAGGUAAAAAUAAAUAAAUAAAUGAAAAAUAACAAGCUGUAAUCAGUGAGAGUGAGAUUUUUGGAGGUGGUGCAAAACAAUACUGAGACUGUGUUAAGCUCCUGAAGUUCAGCAAGUGGUAUAGAUGGAUUCUUAAUUAGAACUUUAAUGAACUGUCUGACAAUCUAUGGUAUUCUUUCUAAUGGACUGGAAGGGACAAUGGGAAGUACUCACUGCAGGCAGGCAGGCAGAGCACUUAGCUGCAGCAAGCGGGAGGCCCUGCAAGCAUGGUGUCAUGCAAUUGAGGCCUCUCUGACACUUCUGCUUAGGAGCUACUCCUGCUUCAGUGCCAACUGGUUGUCCAUUGCCCCAGGCUCCAGCAAAGCACACUGCUCUCUGCUGUGCUCCAGACUGUGUCUUCCACUUGAAGAGUGAAUUGUGCAAACACUGAUGGCAGAUGCAGGACGACAAAGUUCAACUGUGCAUAAAAACGUAAAGCUGUGUUGUGCAGCUAUAUCCUUAAGAUAGGCCAACUACGGUGUCAUCAUAUUCUGGAAAAAAAAAAAAAAAAAAAGUGGGUUGUAAUCUGUGAAUAUCCACUUAACAUGAAUCCGAUAAGCAUAACUAAAGAAAACAAUUUGAAGAGAGGUGGAUGGAAAGAGUUAGUCUGAGAGGCAUUCAAUUUUAUCUGAGAUCCAUUAAGGUAAGGUUGUGGAUGGAGUACACUUCACAGAGAGCAUUUCAACAGUAGCACUAGAUGCUUCCUCCAUAUUGCAUUUAUUAGCAUGAUAACUGGCUUUCUACCACCACAACCAUGAGUCAUGCCUCUUCUAAAACAACAAUAGCUUUGUGGAAUAUAUCGGUCAAAUCCCAGGGCAGCAUGUGCUCUCAGCAUCAAUUUCAUGAGCUGUUUGGACACCGCAGAUAUUGUAUUCAAAGAAUGGGAGAGGCUUCCAGCUCCACAGUCUGCCCCUCACUUGUGGGAUGAGCAUACAGGACAGAAGCUGCCAUGUACAGUUUCUGCUUUUCACCUCCCAGACCCCCCAGGCAGGGGUCUUCUUGCUUCAGAGACUUUGGAAGCCUUCAUCAGAACUGAUGGAGGACGAGGAGAGGACAAUGUUUUUUCCAUGGAAAAUCUGAUCGAUCAGACAUGAAGUGGGUUGGUAAGGACUAACACAAAGGCACAGAGCAGUAAAGGGGAUCUUCUUCCUCCCAUCAGGAAGAAGUAGACACAAGGACGUUUUAGACUGUCUGUUUCUCAGCAGCAGAAACAUCUUGAGGGACUGUAGAAAGGGAUAAACUCUGAAGAUAAUCAGGAAGGAGAGUUCAGGAGACAAAUACAUUUGGGGAAGAAAUGGAGGGAUGUGACAGAAAGGCUCAUGCGCUGUGCCUGCAGCUUUUGUGACGUACUGUCUGGACUGCCCCACAUCAUUGCAGAGACAGUGCCCAUCCUGGGCUGAAGAGGAACAUCUAAGCAGGUGUACUUGCUUUAGCCUUUUCUUUCAGAGCAACCAAAGGAGAUAAACCAGUGUCAGGUGUGACUGGGAGGCUUGUUCAGGGCUGUAUUGAGAUUACCAGCUAAUUAUCCACUGCUGCCAAAAGAGGGCUAUGACUUUGAGCUAUCUUAAGGAUAAUAACUAACUCCCAGUUUUGGUCUCACAGGCCCCUAGUUUCUGAAUAAUUACUUCCCAGAAGAUAUUUAUCAUAUAAUUUCAGAAAGAUUCAGAGUUCAUGUUGAAUUGUACUACUUUGAUUAAGUGAUUUAAAUAAAUUUCUCCCUAUGAUGUUAUUUCUUACUACC
rnacentral:lncRNA from 1 species